rnacentral:misc_RNA from 1 species
GGAAGGAUCAUUAACAAGAUAUGAAUGUCCAAUUCAUAAACCCAUUCCGCGUACAUGUUCUCGUUGCUUCCGCAAGUUGGGCAAUACCUCUUGCCAUACCUCCAUCUCGGAGGCGCUUGCGGGAGGUUAUAAUUACUUCUGCUAUUCUCAUGUCGUCUGAAUUUUUGCCUUUGCAAGUAUUAAAACUUUCAACAACGGAUCUCUUGGUUCUCGCAUCGAUGAAGAGCGCAGCGAAAUGCGAUAAGUAGUGUGAAUUGCAGAAUUCCGUGAAUCAUCGAGUUCUUGAACGCACAUUGCGCCCCUUGGUAUUCCAAGGGGCAUGCCUGUCCGAGUGUCAUCACAAGCCCUCAGGUUUGGAUUUAUCCACUCUCUGGUUCUGAGUUUGGAGCAUCGAUGAUGUUCCGAUUCGAAAUCAAACGGCGCAAAUGGUUGUUGAUUCUGUGUAAUAAGUUUUAUCCUUCACAAGUCGAUACAUCAUUUGUUGCUCGGUAUGAUGAUACCCUUCCAUUCUUAUGACCUCGGAUCAGGUAAGGAUACCCGCUGAACUUAAGCAUAUCAAUAAGCGGAGGAAAAGAAACCAACAGGGAUUGCCUUAGUAACUGCGAGUGAAGCGGCAUUAGCUCAAAUUUUAAAUCUGGCACCUUCGGUGUCCGAAUUGUAAUUUGAAGAGACACUUUGGAAAUGAACGCUGUCCUAAGUUCCUUGGAACAGGACAUCACAGAGGGUGAGAAUCCCGUAUGUGGAUGGCUGUUUCAUUUCGUGUAAAGUGUCCUCAACGAGUCGAGUUGUUUGGGAAUGCAGCUCAAAAUGGGUGGUAAAUGUCAUCUAAAGCUAAAUAAUGGCGAGAGACCGAUAGCGCACAAGUAGAGUGAUCGAAAGAUGAAAAGCACUUUGAAAAGAGAGUUAAAAAGUACGUGAAAUUGUUGAAAGGGAAGCGCUUAGGACCAGAUUCAGUUUUUGGUAAUCAGCUGCCCUUUGGGGCUGUGUACUUGCCGAUUACUGGGACAGCAUCGGUUCGAAUGGCUGGAUAAAGGCCUGGGGAACGUAGCUCCCUUCGGGGAGUGUUAUAGCCCCAGGCGCAAUACAGUCAAUUCGGACCGAGGACCGCGCUUCGGCUAGGAUGCUGUCAAAAUGGUUCUCAGCGACCCGUCUUGAAACACGGACCAAGGAGUCUAACAUCUAUGCGAGUGUUUGGGUGGAAAACCCUUGCGCGCAAUGAAAGUGAACGGAGAUGGGAACCCUUCAUUGGGUGCACCAUCGACCGAUCCUGAUGUCUUCGGAUGGAUUUGAGUAAGAGCAUAGCUGUUGGGACCCGAAAGAUGGUGAACUAUGCCUGAAUAGGGUGAAGCCAGAGGAAACUCUGGUGGAGGCUCGCAGCGGUUCUGACGUGCAAAUCGAUCGUCAAAUUUGGGUAUAGGGGCGAAAGACUAAUCGAACCAUCUAGUAGCUGGUUCCUGC